rnacentral:lncRNA from 1 species
CUUCCCGGGCCUCGCGCGUGGGGCCGCAGGAGCCAAUCCGAGGGUGGGAGCGGAGCGGCGCCCUGCGGAAAGCGGAUUCUACCUCGGAGAGGGCGGGGCGGACAAUGGAGAGCUUCUAGUGCUCGGCGCUCAGAGGUGAGAGUUGGGCUGGGAAGUGUUCAGAUUUCAGGAAACGGUGAAAAAUAAGUUUUUGGAAAUGAGCGAAUUUGUCUUCCACAAGCCUCCCUUCCCUGCGCCCAUCCCCGAGGAGGAGCGUCGUGGUCAAUUUUAAAAAUACGAACUCAAGAGCAGAGUUGUGUGAGGACACACACUUCGAAUCGUGAUGCAUCUGCAGUCCGCUCCCGCCCCUUCCCACCCCGCGCGUUGGGUGCAGGAGCCGUCUUUAUUUUCUAUUUCAUUUUAUUUUGAGACAGGGUCCCGCUCUGUGGCCCAGGCUGGAGUGCAGUGGCACUAUCACGGCUCACUGCAGCCUCGAACUUCCAGGCUAAAGAGAUCCUCCCACCUGUGCCUCCGGAGUAGCUGUGACUACAGGCGUGCACCACCACAUCUGGCUAAUUUUUAAAUUUUUUGUAGAGACAGGGUCUCCCUAUGUUUUCCAGGCUGGUCUCGAUCUCCUGGGUUCCGGCGAUCCUCCUGCCUCGACCUCCCAAAGUGCUGAGAUUAUAGGUGUGAGCCCUGUGCUUGGCCAAGGAGCCGUCUUCAGUGUGUGCACAGGACCAGGCGCAGAGAAGGUGUUGGAGGGAACUGAUGUAUGAAUGAAAGUUGAAUGUGUGCCGCGGGGGAGUGGGGUAGGGACCAUGUGAAAGCCGCUAACUGGCCUGGGGAGCUAAGGGAUGUUGGUGGCACAGUACAGUCUCUUUGUAAACCUCACACCAACCUUAUGUUGUGAUAGGUACCCCAUUUCACAGAUGAGGACUCAGCACAGAGAGGCUAAGUGACGUUCCCGAGACCACACAGCUGGCACAGAGUUCUAUCCACCCAUCAUUAUCAAAUUCUAGGGUAAAGCUGUGUGGCUUUAACAGGUUACUCUCCCUCUCUGAGCCUCUGUUUCCUCAUCUAUAAAAGAAGAAUAAAGGUGCUACUUGGCAGGGAACCAGGUGAGGGACUGGGCAGGCAGCAGGCUUCAGAGGGUGAAGCAUGGGCAUUCCCUGCAAAAGAAAUGGCAUCAGACUAUGGCUGAGAGACUGGUUGGAAGAACAAAGAAGAGGGUGAGCUGGAGGCUGAAGUUCAGGCUGCGGACUUGAGGGUGCCCUGUCUUCUUCAGGCCCAGGGGUUGGGAGUAGGCAAGUUGGGCCCAGGAAGUUGGGACUGGUCUCUGGAGCCUGAGGGCUGGGAGAAGGCAGUUUUGCCUUUACUUGUUGAACUUGACGCUAAGAAACCUUGUGGCCCUUCCCUCUGUCCAGAGCCCUCUCUGGCUCCCGGUUGCCAGCAUGACCAAGCCCUACAUCCCUAGCCUGGCGUUCCAGCCCCUUUGUUAUUGCUCUCUGCCUGCUGACUCCACCAGCCUCAUCUCCCCAUUGCUUACUUCCCUCUCUACUUGCGCCAACUUCUCUCAGCUCCAUCAGCAAGCAGGAUGCAUUCUGUCUCCAUGCAGUUGUCUCCUCCAUGUGUUGCUUUGCUGUUCCCCUUCUCUCUGGAGUUAAUUCUCAUUUCUCUGCUGGGCUGAAGGGCAGAACCUCUAGGCCAAAUGCUCAUCUGUUCUCUUCACUGCUGUAUCCCCAGAGCCUAGCACGGAGCCUGGCACAUAGUAGGUGCCAAGUAAACAAUUGUUGAAUAAAUGACCCAUCUCUCAUGAGAUUUAUCAAGAUUUAUCUCCACCAAGAUUUAUCACCACCUCCGAGAAGCCUUCCUGAACUCCCCCAGGCUGCCUGCCUUUGGUCUGGGCUCCCUCAGCUUGAAGGUUCUGUAAUGAUUGAUUUCCAUGUCUGGUUUCCCUCCCACCCGCCACCAUCCAGCCUGGUACAUGGCCUGCCCUUGUGAGAUCUCGGCACUGGGAGAUGAAUGAGGCUCUCAGAGAGUUCUCUGGCUGCCCCUGCUGCGAGAGCCUCCUUAGCUGGGUCAGAUGAGCAGGAUGUCAGAAUAAAAGGAGAUUUUCAGAACAGACCCUCCAUGACCCCUGAGGCGCUGGGGGUGUGUGAGGGGGAGGCAUGCCCAAGGUCGUCAGGAGGUGACUAGCAAACAGGUCUCAAGACACCCACAUUUGCCCUCUGGCCACUCUUCCAAAGGGGAGGGAGUCUUGUGAGCUGGGGAAUCUGGCCUUUUGGUGGCCAAGGAGUUCCAUGAAGCAUGACAGAGGUGGUCAUGGUGGCUGGUCUGGGCGGUGGUCGAGGGUGAGGCUACACGGAAACAUUAGCCUUUUCUGCCUGAUGCCCUACUUCUCCCAAGAACCUUCUACCUUCCUUACAUUCUUCUCACCGGAGGCAGCAGCUUCAGCUUCGGGCCCCAGGGCUGUUAAACGCAGCUCCUCCCAUUCUUAUGGCAGAUAGACAUUCACUUUCACGUCUACAUUUAUAUUAGUAUUUUGCAGUUUUUCUUAAACAGGGCCACUGAAUUGUAUGAGGCUCCACACCCCUGGAGAUCUACUUCCAACAAAUCCUUCCACUGCGUCCAUAUAUGCAGGUCCUGUGUGAGGCGUUGGCAGGGACGCUCUGCCCUCCUGCAGCUCCCUGUCUGGUGGGGUGAUUGGGCUCCACUGAGCUCAUUGAGCCCUCAAAAUGCUUCAUGCCUUCCUACCCCUCUGCCUCCGUCCCUGCCAGCCUGGAGUCCUUUCCCUGUCCCUCCUGCCUGCAUGUGUCCCGCUUGCCUAGUGGAUUUUCUCCAUCCUUCAAGGCCCUUCUCACAAGCUGAUGCCUCUGAGAACCCUGCCCACUUCUCCCAGUGACAAGCACAGCCUCUUCCUUUGGAGCCUGUGGCACCGAAGGCCCUUUGCCUCUUCUGAUGCCUUUGGAUCUGGGCUGCUGUUGAUGGGUCAAUUUUCCCACCAGAUUAUGAGCUUUUGGAGGGCAAGGGGUGGAGUCUGAUUUCUCGCUGCCCGAGUCCCUCAUUCACCAAUGUUUCCUGAGUUGGACCAAGUCCUAUACCAAACAUUGGGUAUCCAGGGAUGGGACAAUCAGAUGAGAACCUGCCCUCAUCAUCGAGGAGCCCCCAGUCCCAGAGCUGUCUGCAUGGAAAUGUGUACCAAGUGCUUUCUGAACAGAGGAGGCUGCCUGAUUCAGCUGGAGGAGGGCAAGCUGGGUCAAGGGCAGCUUCACAGGGAGGGUGACACUUGGGUAUUUAAGAAGCAGAACUUAUCAAGAUAAGGAGGGAAGCGUCUUCUGGGCAGACGGAACAUUGAGCGCAAAGGCAUGAAAGUGGGAAUGGGCAGGUGGAGGGUGAGAAGUUAGUGUAUUUAGGGCAACAGAAAUGACGGAGGGAGAAGUGGGUUGCACAACAGAGCAGUUAGAGCACAGACUCUGGAGCCACAUGGCCUAGGUUCGAAUCCUGACACUACCAAGUGCUAGCUCUGUUGUUACUCAGUGCCUCAGUUUCCUUAUCUGUAGAGUGGGGAUAAUCCCAGUACUUACUUUGUAGGAUAUUUAUAAGGAUUAAGUGAGUUAAUUUUUGUAAGGCACCUAGGGUAGUGUUGAUGACACACGUAAGUUCCUAGUGAGUGUUAGGUAAAUGAGGGGGAGCCGGAGAGGCCAUGAUAGGUGGGGUUCAUGUUUGGAAUUUAUCUGGAGGACAUUGGAGCAUUAGCAAGGAGGGAGUGUGAAGGGGAGUGGGAAGCUUGGCUUGGACCCAGCCUGCUCUGCCCACUCACGCACAUCCAGAGGGCAUCCCUGGGACCCCCACCUGCCUGCCCCUCCUGCUCUCUGGUCUUCCACUGCCCUCAGUGGCCCUGUGGCCUCAACUAACCUCAGCUGAUGUAUAACAGGGCUGUAGGAGCUGGGGCCACACCUACCCCAGUACACCUGGGGGAAACUUUAUGUUCCAGUUUAUUGCCAAAGGAGGUCAAGUAGGGGUCCCGAGGGGAUCCGGGACACAUGUGCAGGGUGAGCAUCUGAGCUGUAGCCUGGCUUAACGCAUGGUGGAUUUGGUAAGAGUGUGUAUGUGGAAUGGGGAGUGGAGAGGGGCUGGAGGCACUUGCCUGGCCUGGAGAGCUGGUUGGAUGUAGGGCACUGUGGGCUGUGAUGCUGUGGGCUUGGGAGCCAGGUGCACAUCCUGGCCCAGUCACCUUCCCUCUCUGUGCCUGAGAUUCCUGUGGGUAAAAGGGAGAUGAAAAUAGUAGCUCCUUCAGGCCGGUUAGCUCAGUUGGGAAAAAAAAGAAAAAGAAAAUAGUGGCUACUUCAAAGGUGGUAAGGAUGAAAAGAUCAAAUGUUCAGUCAGUGAGGCCUGAGGUACAUGGUGUAUAUCUGGGAGACCAAAAUCAAUUCUGUAGUACCAAGGCCGAAAGGUCAAGAGAGACUGUGGCUGGAGAGCCAGGCAGAGGGACGUGCCACACAAGGUCUUAGUCAAGAGUUGGCCUCUGUGCUGAGGGUGGAGGGGAGCCAUGGGAGGGUUUCACAGGGACAACAAGGUCAUAUGUGCUUCUCAGAGAUCACUGAGGUAGACAGACUGGGGCCUGUGUUAAGAGUCAAGGUGACAAGGAGAGGCGCGGGUCUGAGCCUGGGCCCCGGCUGUGGCCCAAGUGGGUGGGAGGCAUCCCAGAACAUCUACAGGGAAAGAGGCUCGAGCUACUGAUUUGUGUCCACGUAGGGCAAGAGUGAGCUAGAAAUGCCUGGGUGACUCCCAGGGCCCAGCUGGUGGUGCCAUUUCCUGGGGUGGGGAGCCUGGAGAUGCAGGUAUGGGGAAAGGUGAUGAUGUGGCUUGGGGACACAGUGAGUUUGAGGGACCAUUGGGAGAUACAUGGGAUAUUCCUCGGUAGAGCUCUGGGGGGCGGGGCCGGGCUUGAGUCCACCUCUUGGGAAUGGACAGCCUUUGGGAGGAGAGGCUGAGUAGCCCCUGGGAGGGAAGCGUGGCUCACCACGGAUGAAAACCAACAGGGAGGGGAUGGGCAGGGGCAGGGGCCUGAGGAGGAGCCCUCUGAGGGGAAGAAGAGGACAGAGGGGAGCAGACAGUGAGAGGAGAGUGUGCAGGGAGAGGUUAGCCAGGGCCGGGAGGGCCAGGAUGGAGGUGUCCCCUGGGGUGGGCCAUUGGGACUGUGGGUGACUUGGGAAGGGUGAUGUGCAUAGGGUGGGAGGCAGGAGCAGGGGCUCACUUGGUGACAUGGUGGACAGCCCCUUUCAGGGCAGCUGGCAGGGCAACAUGGUUGGAUGGCAGCUGGCGGGGAAGGCAGAGGCAGAGGAGGGUUUUGGUUUUGGUGUUGGUUCCUGGAGGAGGGCUUCAGUUAAAGCUCUGUGAAUAAGGGAGGGGCAGGAAGCUGACCUGGGACUGAGGAGAGGCUGUAUUUGGGGGUUGGGGGUGAGGACCACAGUGGGGACAGGAGAGACAGAGCUGAAGCAGCCCCUUCUCACUUCGUAGAGGGGGCUUUGGGAAAUGUCUGUGUCAAGUUAAUAAAAAAUGAUAUCAUGGCUGGGUGGGGUAGCUGACACAUGUAAUCCCAGCACUUUGGGAGGCCAAGGCGGAUGGAUCACUUGAGGCCAGGGGUUUGAGACCAGCCUGGCCAACAUAGUGAAACCCCAUCUCUACUAAAAAUACAAAAAUUAGCCACGUGUGGUGGUGCAUGCCUGUAGUCCCAGCUACUUGGGAAGCAUGAGGCAUGAGGUGGAGGCUGCAGAGAGCUGAGAUCGUGCCACUUCACUCCACCCUGGGAGACCCUGUCUCAAAAAAAAAAAGAUACCUGACCCCCUUUCUCAUUCUCCUGGAUCACUGUUCAGGCUCCAGUCUUGCAAGGCUGGGGAGCUUCACAUUCCUUUCUGACCCCAGAUCCUGGAAGCUUCCUCUCCCACCAGGUCUUGUCGCCAGCCAGUGGGAAUAACCGAGGUCACCAUAAUGCCAUGCUGACCCUUCCCCAGAGCCUUUGGAUGCUCACUAGAAGAACUAUCUGCUUUGUCCCCACCAUUGUCAGUUGCCGGGGACUGCUUCCCUCCAACCCCCACCAUGAACUUGCCAGAUUGAUUUCUGUGUCGCAGCACAGGGUGUGGCCACACCCAGUAGGCACUCAAUACCUUUAACUGUAGAAAUGCAGAGGGAAUGCCUUCAUUUGGCUGCCUCUGCUGCCCCCUGCUGUCUGAGACUGGUUGGUACAACAUUAAAGGGCUGGUUCUGGAACUUAAUGGUUUCGGGACCCCUUUUCUUGCCUAAAAAUUAUUGAGGACCCCAAAGAACAUCUGUUUAUACGUUUUAUGUCUAUUGGUAUUUACAGUAAUAUAAAUUUAAAUUGAUAUGUUUUUAAAAUAUUCAUAUUAUAUGAUUAAAAUAAUAAAUGUAGUGUAACAACAUAUUUUUAGAAAAAAUAUUUCCCAAAAUAAAAAAUUAAUGAGAAAAGUGGCAUUAUUUUAUAUGUUUACAAAUUUCUUUAAUGUCUUGAUAGAAGACAGCUGGAUUUUCAAACACACUUCUGCAUUUAAUCUGAUGCAAUAUGUUGUUUUAAGUGAAGUUUAUGAAGAAAAUACAGGCUUACGCAAAUACAUAGUUGUAAAAGGGAUAUGUUAACAGCCCUUUCAAAUAAUUGUGGCUAUUCUUUUUUUUAUUUUUUAGAGGCAGGAUCUUGCUCUGUUGGCCAGGCUGGAGUGCAGUGGCAUGAUCAUAGCUCACUGUAACCUCAAACUCUUGGGCUCAAGUGAUCCUUUCACCUCAGCCUCCCAAGUAGCAAGGACUACAGGUACUCACCACCACACUCAGCUCAUUUUUCUUUUUUUUGGUACAGAUGGGGUCUCACUAUGUUGCCCAGGCUGGUCUUUUCCUGGCCUCAAGCAAUCCUCCUGCCUCAGCUUCCCUAAGUGCUGGGAUUACAGGUGUGAACUACUGAGCCUGGCUAUUCUUUUUUGAUACUAGCCAAAACUUGACAAGUGCUGUUUUUUUUUUUUGAAGGUUAGUUGUGAUUAGAAUCUGAAAUCUAGCCGGGCGCAGUGGCUCAUGCCUGUAAUCCCAGCACUUUGGGAGGCUGAGGUGGGUGGAUCACGAGGUCAGGAGUUCGAGACCAGCUUGGCCAAUAUGGUGAAACCCCGUCUCUACUAAAAAUACAAAAAUUAGCUGGGCAUGGUGGCGCCUGCCUGUAGUCCCAGCUGCUCGGGAGGCUGAGGCAGGAGAAUCUCUUGAACCCGGGAGGCGGAGGUUGCAGUGAGCCAAGAUUCUGCCACUGCACUCAGUCUCAAAAAAAAAAAAAAAAAUCUGAAAUCCUAUCAAUGAAAUUUUUAUGUUCAAUUACAUUAAAAUACAUUAGACUCUUUCGCAUUUUGGAUAUAUCUUUUGCCCAAGCAUGAUGUUAUAACUUAAUGCACUGGCUGUUUGGAAAAAAAUGGUUCACCAAGUUAUGCAGGUCUUUCAAAUAUUGACAAAUAUUAGUAUACUAUGUUUUAAAAAUCACAUUAGUUAAUAUCAACACCGAUCUCAUCAGAGAAGUCUUUAAGUAUUGGGAAGCUGCCAAGGUCACAGUGGUGAACACAAGGUUUCUAAAAUUCCAAUUUUCACUUGAGCUUGGGUUUCAUCAUUAGCAAUAAAUACUGUCAGUUUGCUGUGAAAUGACAGAUUCAUUUUAUUCAUUCUUGAGAAAAUGUCUGCCAGAGACUCAAGUCUGCAUAAGCAUAAUUUAUCUGUCAGUAUUUCUUUCAGGUCAAAAUGGUGUUCCAUGAAAAAAAAAAAGUGACUAGUUAAGCUCACAGUUCAAACAAGUGCAAAUGCUUUUCUGGAGACAACCAUUGUGCUGCAUCGGAUAUGGCAGAAGUGCUCUAUGUUGCUUCCCAGAAUAUUAAAAAGAUGUAUACUCAAGGACCAGUAUAUUGUGAAUGGGAUCAUUUUUAUUGCUGCAUCAAAGACUUUCCUGGUCGAUGUUGGCAGUGUUUUCCUAUGAGGGCGUGGCAGUGAAAAAUGCGAUGACUUCCUGUACAUCGCAUUGGAGGCCGCCACGUUGGCUUUUGCACCGUCAGGGAAAUGUCAACCCAGCAAAAAAGGCAAAUGAUGCCUUAGUCUCAUUAUGAAAAGAGUUUUGACCUUGCAGACUUCCCCAGCAGGGUCUGUACUUGGCAUUCAUGUUUUAAUUUAACGUUCUCAUACCAGAAGCAGGGCUCAGUCACCCUUGACACAGUUUCCAAUACUAUGCCCCACCCGAAUGGCUCCAGCUGGUGGCUGGAGAUAAAACUUAGAGGCUUCUCUCCCACCUAGCAGGCUGGCUCCUGGCCUUCCCGCUCUCUCCUUUAAACGGACCAUUCAGACAUGAGCUUGUCAACUGGAAGUGACCACCUCUCAGUCACAGUGUGACCAACUGGAACUAGUGCCUGCUUGCUUUAAACCUACCAAUUAAAGCUCCCUGAGGGAAAGCUGGACACCCUCGACCCAAUAUAGGCAGUGGCCCAUGGGUCUUGUCUCUUCCUGCCUGCACUCCCUGACGUGUGUGUGUGUGUGUGUGUGUGUGUGUGUCCGUGUGUGAGAGAGAGACAGAGACACCUCUGUUGUGCCCUCCAGGGUGUGUAAGUACUAAACAUUUUUACACUUUCACACUGUGGUUUUAUCCCCUGAAGGUGAGGCCACUGAAGGACCCAUGCAGGUGGGUCCCCUCCCUACUGGCGCUCUUUUUUUUUGAGCCCCUCCACUGUUGGGAACAGCUACCAGUUAAGUUGAUAGAGUUUCCUUCAAAACAUAGCCCUGACACCCUCUCAGAACAGAGGGGCCUCCUUAUCUCCAGGAGCAGCAGGGGAGGGGGAAGGAAGAGGAGAGUUGAGAGAAGACACCUGCCCCUCUCAUCAUGUGCUUAAGAGGCACCCAUGGGCACUGUUCAGGGCCGAAAAUUAGAAAUACCCCAACCAGCCAGUACCAUGGGGGUGGUGAUAGGAACCCUGGCUUCCUAGAAUAACUCAGUUCCAGGAACCUGUGCUGAGGGCCCAGUCCAUGCCAGACCUGAGGCUGGCACUAGAGAUGCAAAAUGCAAUCAGACCCUGCCCCCUCCCCUUGAGGAGUGUUCAGUUUAGUGGGGGAGAGAAGGGUGCCACAUCAGUAAUAAAAACAGACCCCUUUAUUUUUGUUAACUUUACCAAAUGAAAUUUUAUAAAUUCAAAGUGCCAUCUACUGCUUCCUCCCGGGUUCUCUUCUUUCCCCCAGCACCCCUGCCCCCCAACACCAGGUUCUCUUCUGUAACACUCAACGCGAGGGUCCGAGGCUUCAUUCUUGAAGUCAGUGAGACCAAGAACCCUCCAAUUCCGGACACAGCGUCACCCUUAUUAUACAACAGGCUGUUUUCCUAUGCUGUCCAAAACUGCAUCGAUUCCCCCUAAAGCCGCUCCUUCAGUAUUCUCCAUCUCUGUGACAGAUCCCAACAUCCUAGACAUCACCCCCUAUAGCCCGUCAGUCACAGAGAUGCAGGGAAGGGAAUUCUAAAGCUACUGGAGGCCAGGCAUGGUGGCUCACGCCUAUAAGCCCAGCACUUUGGGAGGCCGAGGCGGGCGGAUCACUUGAGGUCAAGAGUUCAAGACCAGUCUGACCAACAUGGUGAAACCCCGUCUCUACUAAAAAUACAAAAAUUAGCUGGGCCUGGUGGCGCGCGCCUGUAAUUCCAGCCACUCGGGAGGCUGAGGGAUGAGAAUCACUUGAACCCAGGAGGUGGAAGUUGAGGUGAGCUGAGAUUGCACCACUGCACUCCAGCCUGUGUGAUGGAGUGACAGAAAGGGAGGGAGGGAGGGAGGGAGGAAGGAAGGAAGGAGGGGAGGAAGAGAACAAAAGAAAAAAAGAGAAAGCAAGCUAGCUACUGGAGUGUCCAGGCUCCCAACUCUGGAGUUUCUAUCUCCUGAACAUCUAAACAUUUUUCCAUCCACUCCUUGACCCUGUGGCUCCCAUAAUCACCUCCAAGGCCAGUGCCCAUCAUGUCAGCCUCUUCGGUGCUCUCCCUGCCUCCUCUCUUGCCCUCUCCUAUCCACUUCCCACUAUUUCAGAUCUGAGCACAGCAUUCUCUUGAUUAAAACUCCUCAGUGGCUCCCCUCUCUUGGCUCUCAGCAGCACAUGCUGGGCCCUCUACACCCAAGUCAACCUGGAAGGCACAGCUCCCGUGUCUCCUCCUCCAGGAAGCCUCCCUCUGACCAUGAGGUGGGCCUACCAUCUGGGAAAGGUGGAAGGGAAGGAGGGAUUAAGUAGAAAGAGCCUCAGACUGCACUGCAGCUCCGAGAAAGCCUCAGCCAGCCCAGUGGGGAGGCCAGAGCACAAAUUAGCUGUUAGAGGCUGGGCGUGGUGGCUCACACCUGUAGUCCCAGCUACUUGGGAGGCUGAGGCAGAAGGAUCGCUUGAGCCUGGGAGGCGGAGGUUGCAGUGAGCUGAAAUUGUGCCAUUGUGCUCCAGCCUGGGCCACAGAGUGAUACUCUGGCUCAAAAACAAACAAACAAAACAAAAACAAACAAACAAACAAAAAACAGAGGAGACAUCUGCUGGGCAGAAACGGCCAGACCUCCUUCUCCCACUGAGCUGAGUCAUUGGCUAGGGCUGCCCAAGGAGAAAGUGGCCUUGUCAGGAACACAGCAGUAGAUCCCAGGGUGUUGCUGCUGGGAUCUGUUGCUAACGACACUCCUGCUCUACACUCUCUUAAAGGAAGAUCUGAGUGGCAAACCUCCAUGGCUUGAUGGAUGUUAAAGUUGGAAGGAAUUUAAGAGAUGCUCUAGGCCAGCCGCUGUCACAUUUUACAGAUGAGAAAACUGAGGUUGGCCAGAGGAAGUGACUUGCCCAAAGCCACCCAGCAUGUAAACCAAUAUGCAAACCCAGGUUCUGACACCCAAGUCUGCGCUCUUCUGAAUCAUUGCUGACUCAGAGUCACAGUGGGGCUAGAGGGCAGUGGGAGGAGAGUGGCAAGGUAUGACUUCAGGACGCGGCUCAGGUGUCACUUCCUCACAGAAGCCCUGCCUGGACCCAAGCUCUUCUCUGGGCUCCCCGAGGCCUCUAUCCACUCAUUUACCAGUCAGUUCUGUGAAUGUCAGCUUGUGUGUCUGCUUCCAUGAGGCCAUGUCCCCAGCACCCAGCAUGGGACCCGGAACAUCGUGCUACAUGUGAAGGUACACGCCUCUGGUUUCUACUGCCCUCUCUGGCAGCUCAACCCUCCAGGACAGAAGAGCAAUCGGUUCCGCUAUUCGUUGCUUCCUUCCUUUCUUCCUGCUUUAAAUAAAUGUAUACUGAGUGAUUACUUCAUACAGUCCUGGGGACACAGCGGUGAAAAAUUUUGCCUUCAUGAAAUUUACUUUCUAGUAGAGGGAGGUAGACAAUAAGCAAAACAAAUACAAGGAGUGGUGUAUUAGAUGGGAUACAUGCUAUGGGCAAAAGAAAGAGCCUCAGAGA